rnacentral:rRNA from 1 species
AACGAACGCUGGCGGCAUGCCUAACACAUGCAAGUCGAACGAGACCUUCGGGUCUAGUGGCGCACGGGUGCGUAACGCGUGGGAACCUGCCCUUAGGUUCGGAAUAACUCCCCGAAAGGGGUGCUAAUACCGGAUAAUGUCUUCGGACCAAAGAUUUAUCGCCUUUGGAUGGGCCCGCGUUGGAUUAGCUAGUUGGUAGGGUAAAAGCCUACCAAGGCGACGAUCCAUAGCUGGUCUGAGAGGAUGAUCAGCCACACUGGGACUGAGACACGGCCCAGACUCCCACGGGAGGCAGCAGUUGGGAAUAUUGGACAAUGGGCGAAAGCCUGAUCCAGCAAUGCCGCGUGAGUGAUGAAGGCCUUAGGGUUGUAAAGCUCUUUUACCCGGGAUGAUAAUGACAGUACCGGGAGAAUAAGCUCCGGCUAACUCCGUG